GACGAACGCUGGCGGCGUGCUUAACACAUGCAAGUCGAACGGUGAAGGGACCGGUUUUUGCUGGUUCUGGAUGAGUGGCGAACGGGUGAGUAACACGUGAGUAACCUGCCCCCUUCUUCUGGAUAACCGCAUGAAAGUGUGGCUAAUACGGGAUAUUCUGCGCCUGCUGCAUGGUGGGUGUGGGAAAGAUAUUGUUUCGGUGGGGGAUGGGCUCGCGGCCUAUCAGCUUGUUGGUGGGGUGAUGGCCUACCAAGGCGGUGACGGGUAGCCGGCCUGAGAGGGUGGACGGUCACACUGGGACUGAGACACGGCCCAGACUCCUACGGGAGGCAGCAGUGGGGAAUAUUGCACAAUGGGCGCAAGCCUGAUGCAGCGACGCCGCGUGAGGGGUGGAGGCCUUCGGGUUGUAAACCUCUUUCGCCAGUGAAGCAGGCCUGUCCCUUUUGUGGGUGGGUUGACGGUAGCUGGAUAAGAAGCGCCGGCUAACUACGUG
rnacentral:rRNA from 1 species